rnacentral:lncRNA from 1 species
CUCCUGUUUAUCUUAAAGAUAAAGACUGUCAUCCCAAUGUGCAUCCCACAGUAACCAGGGCUGGCAACAUGGCUUCUUGUGUAAAUUUCUGUCCCAGAAUUCAGUUCCAAAAACUUGAGGUAGAAGAGGAUGCAGGGAGGCAUGUCGGCCUUCGCUCAACAACUCUCAGGGAGCUGAGCACUGUUGAGCAAUUUUAUGUUUCUUGACCCUUCCCACAGAAAUGAAAACAUUAUCCAUUUCUGGAAAUCUGGGAGCAAAGAGAAAGAUAUCCUCUGACACUGACCAAAACUCAAUGCGCCCAUUUGUUUCUUGAAAAAGACAAAACACAGUUUUGCUUCAAACUGCAGGAUCUUGUCAAACUUGCCUUCCUCUGUGACCGGGUCACCCUCAGAGCUGAUAUCUUGCCUAAACAGGGUCAAGCCACUGGGACAGCUGGAUUCCUAAUGAACCUGGAACCCGGAAUAUUCCUGCUGCUGAGCAGAAGCCCAAGUGGAGAAGAAGGCCAAGGGGACGCUUCUGCGAGCCUGUUUUCAUCCUGAAGAUCCUGGCCUGUGGACAACGCUCCGCUGUUUUAGCACAGUUCAGUGCAAACUCUUUCACCUACAUCUGAGAAGCCAUGGCAGGCAAACCACACCUUGGGCUCUGAAGAGCAUGGUCCUUCAUCCUUGUUCUUUACAUGAUAAAGGGGCAGAAGGCGAAGAAGAACCUUUGUACCUUCCUGCUCUCAACUUCCCAAGGAGAUUAGAACACAACCCUAGCUGGGCCUUGAAAACCAGUAAGUUUUCCUCUUUCAGAACCAAUUCCCUUACACUACAUUUGCCUUGGAAAUAGUCCUUACCUUCAGGAUGAGGGGAAAAAACAGAGGGGCACAGAGCACCUUACACACUAUACAAGAUCGUUGCAUGAGAAAAUGGCUCUAUCUAAGC